rnacentral:rRNA from 1 species
UACAGGGGGUGCAAACGUUGCUCGGAAUCAUUGGGCGUAAAGCGCACGUAGGCGGUUCGUUAUGUCGGAUGUGAAAGCCCUUGGCUUAACCGAGGAAGUGCAUCCGAAACUGGCGAGCUAGAGUACGAAAGAGGAUCGCGGAAUUCCCGGUGUAGAGGUGAAAUUCGUAGAUAUCGGGAGGAACACCGGUGGCGAAGGCGACUACCUGGCCUGUUCUUGACGCUGAGGCGCGAAAGCUAGGGGAGCAAACAGG